UACAGGGGGGGCAAGCGUUGUUCGGAAUUACUGGGCGUAAAGGGCUCGUAGGUGGCCAACUAAGUCAGACGUGAAAUCCCUCAGCUUAACUGGGGAACUGCGUCUGAUACUGGAUGGCUUGAGUUUGGGAGAGGGAUGCGGAAUUCCAGGUGUAGCGGUGAAAUGCGUAGAUAUCUGGAGGAACACCGGUGGCGAAGGCGGCAUCCUGGACCAAUUCUGACGCUGAGGAGCGAAAGCGUGGGGAGCGAACAGG
rnacentral:rRNA from 1 species